CUGGCCAAGUAUUUUCAGUUAAGCUGACUAGAACCCAGACAGGACUCUGACUCAGCCUCCACGCAGACAACAGCAAGGCCAUAGAGAUGGUGGAGCCAUACACCGAAGGAACCUGAGUCACUCUGUGACUGCCCAGAGAAAAGCUGUCCCAUUCACCUGAACUGGACACCUUGGACUAUUAUGUGGAAGGGAAAUAAACUUCUUUGCUCUUUAGGCUGCAUCACUGGAUCUCUUCCCAUGACUUACCCUUUGCCCCAGCUAAUGCAUCUGGGAUUUGGAAAAUGCUCAAUCUAUA
rnacentral:lncRNA from 10 species